rnacentral:lncRNA from 1 species
AUGGUACGGUCGAAGGCUCAGUAGUAUCAAACGGUUGAUCCUGCCGUGAAUUACAUAAUAGUCCUUAAUUCGGGAACUAAAUUGGCCUGAAUUUCCAGUGUGUGAAGCUGGUUUUUUCUUUUUUUCUUUCUUUCUUUCUUUCACACUUGUCAGGUCAUCAGGUGUUCAAGCUACCAUCAAGUUAUUUGUGCGCCUGUAAAUUGUCUAAAAUGAAUGAACACUAUCUCUAUGAGGUUCUCUACCAUCAAGUUGUUUCGUUUGUUUAAUGAAAAAUAUGACUACAAUUUGGAAAUGUUGUGCUCUAUGAUAAUUAGAGCUAGAACAUGACCAUGUGUGGAAUGAUCGUGGAUUUGUUGUGCACUGGUUGCCUCUGUUGUUGAGAUGCGUGCUAUAUCAAAGGGCCAUGAAAUAGCUGAGAUAUGAUCCUACCAUGUGCUAAUUAAAUCCCAAAACCCAGUGCAAGCAACACAAUUAAGCCGAUCUAUAAAAGGCCUCCAGCCACUCAGUGAAAGCACCCAACAAAUACACAUCAUUCGCUAAAAAGAAAAUACA